rnacentral:rRNA from 1 species
UACAGAGGUCCCGAGCGUUGUUCGGAUUCAUUGGGCGUAAAGGGUGCGUAGGCGGCUUCCUAAGUUUGAUGUGAAAUCCUGGGGCUCAACCCUGGAACUGCAUUGAAUACUGGGAGGCUAGAGUACUGGAGAGGAAACUGGAAUUUACGGUGUAGCAGUGAAAUGCGUAGAGAUCGUAAGGAAGACCAGUGGCGAAGGCGAGUUUCUGGACAG